CUAAAUUGCAACAUGAGCAUUUGGUACAUGCGACCGUAAUUCUUUAUUAUGGAAGCGUGCACUCCUUCAGAAACUCAGAACGGUCGAAAUUAUUCUACAAUGGUUUACUGAAAGUGGAAAUAGUCGUUUUUUUCCGUCACUAUUCAGGCAAUUCAUGUGCCGCGUGGCUUGAUUUUAUCAACGGCUAAAAAUCUAAUCGCAAACAACUUAACUAAACUCAGAGCAGUCGAUUUCAACAUGUGCUCGGUCCGCGCUACGCACGUCGCUUAAAGGCUGCAGAACAACUUUCAAGGGGCUGCCGUUCCACACUUCCAACUCGCCCUCGCAAACUUCAGACAUACAAACGAUCCCUUAAAAUGUCCCCGAUUUUGAUUCAAAUUAUACAAAGCGUAUGCGCAUUUAAUACCAUAGCGAAGGAACGGGGAGACAUGAGCAGAGCUGGCGAAACGCUAUAACGCCGACGACUGUAAGCGAGCGGGCAAAAAAGACCUGUGGUGAGCCAGAGGGGAGUCAGAGUGCAGAGGAAGCCCGUGAUGUCAUAGAGGGAGCAAGAGAACCAGAAAAAGGAUCGUGAGGAAUGUUCACCGCCAGUCCACAAGACAGUUUUAUGUUGCUUCCUUCACAAAGACCCUUAUUUAGAACAUGCAGUCCAUCAAAGAUCCAAGGACAGAUACGACGCUCGAGAGGCAGUUAUUUCAACCUGAAUGGAUAUUUUAACCAGUCUAAACUGAAAACGCCAUCAUGUACAUGCAAAUUUCUAGUAAUUGCAAUGGCUUAAACUGUAGACCUACAGUCUAUCUAGGUACUUAUUAGGUAACGAGCAAUAAAGGCUAGCACCUGGGGGUUGA